rnacentral:lncRNA from 13 species
UACAUGGGAUACAACCACAUUCAUAUUGAAUCAAUUUGGACUGUCUGACUUUGGUUUACCUAUUGCCUUGCAGUGUCUGGCAGCACUGUGUUCCUGUUAGAGCCACCAGCACAAGCACCAGACGAUGCUGAUCCAGGUGAAGGCCCCAGUGCAGCAGCAACAGCACAUGAUGGAGACGAUGAUGAGGAGGAGACCAUCUCUCUGGAUUCCAGAAGGCAUGAGGUAUCAUGUUAAGACUGUGAAAGUACUAUUUACUCUACAAUGGUGAGGAGUCCUCAUCAAAAUCAAAAAAUCUAAUUUCUUUUACAGGACCCAGAUGCUAUACAGUGGGAAAACCAGCCUGGCAACAUAGUAUUAAUAAAAGGACACCACAUCCUGCCAAAUUCCAGCUGCGCUAAUUGUAUUGUGUUCACAGAGCUCACAAGCUAUCAGAAAGUUGUAUGGCAACCACCUCCGGUGCCAAAUAGAACUGGCAGACAUAGACAUUCAGUACAAGAAGAAAAAGAUGGAAAAUCUUGCACUGGAGUUCGAAAUAAAAAAGAGGACAAUUAGGAAACUGGACCUUGAAAUAAAAAAACUUGAGAGGGAGGUGAGAUAUGCCUUCAAUGUACACUGUAUGCUAACUGUAACACAAAUGUAUUAAUCAUUAUUUUUCUUUCCUCCCCCAGCUCCAAGAAGAUGACACAGCUCAAAAUAAAAAUGAGGUAUAUUCUCGUAAAGUCAAGUGAGCCAUGACAUAUGAGCUCUUAUUGUGAGCACACAGGACGGUGGCAUCUUUCUAAGGUUUUUUUUAUUUUCCCAGCAAUCAGUACAACCAAGUCAUCGUUAUAAGGCAUCGCCCUCUUUUGCCCACCCCCCCNNNNNNNNNNAAAUGGAGAAAACAUAUGCCUUAUGCACAAGUAAAACAAAAAGAAAUAUGUAAUACAAGUUGACAAAGGUAUAGUUUGAGCAAAGUAAAGUUUGAAAUUUGACCAUGACAAAUUCGUGAUGGUACCUGCCCAUUAAAACAUAUUGCAAAUGCACAGUGACUUUGAAAAAGUAAGGAAACAUAAACAAAAAAAAUCAAAAAUGUUUUGUUGCACAUUUUAGAUCAUCAGUUGCACGGAGGAAAAUCGUUACUUUUGACUUUUGACUUCCUAUGACAUCAUAUUGCAAAUGGAGAAAACAUAUGCCUUAUGCACAAGUAAAAAAAAUAUGAUAAUAAAGCAUGACUAAAGUAUGUUGAUAAAGUUCUUAUACAUUUGUUAUUGACACAAAAAUCGAAAGAAUUUUGAAAAAAGGUCCAGAAAGCACUUUUUUAAGGAUGUAUGAAGUUUUUUACCAAAUUUUGACAUUUUUGACUUUUGACUUUUGACUUCCUAUGAAAUCAUAUUCCAAAUGGAGAAAACAUAUGCCUUAUGCACAAGUAAAAAAAUCUAUAUAUAUAUGAUAAUAAAGUAUGACUAAAGUAUGUUGAUAAAGUUCUUAUACAUGUGUAAUUGACACAAAAAUCGAAAGAAUUUUGAAAAAAGGUCCAGAAAGCACUUUUUUAAGGAUGUGUGAAGUUUUUUACCAAAUUUUGACA